rnacentral:rRNA from 1 species
AUUGAACGCUGGCGGCAGGCCUAACACAUGCAAGUCGAGCGAGUGGCGGACGGGUGAGUAAUGUCUGGGAAACUGCCUGAUGGUGGGGGAUAACUACUGGAAACGGUAGCUAAUACCGCAUACUGUGAGAUGGACCUGCGUUUUAUUAGCUAGUUGGUGAGGUAAAGGCUCACCAAGGCGACGAUACAUAGCCGACCUGAGAGGGUGAUCAGCCACACUGGGACUGAGACACGGCCCAGACUCCUACGGGAGGCAGCAGUGGGGAAUAUUGCACAAUGGGCGCAAGCCUGAUGCAGCCAUGCCGCGUGUAUGAAGAAGGCAUUCGGGUUGUAAAGUACUUUCAGCGGGGAGGCGUUACCCGCAGAAGAAGCACCGGCUAACUCCGUGCCAGCAGCCGCGGUAAUAC